AGAGUUUGAUCCUGGCUCAGGAUGAACGCUAGCUACAGGCUUAACACAUGCAAGUCGAGGGGCAGCAUGAACUUAGCUUGCUAAGUUUGAUGGCGACCGGCGCACGGGUGAGUAACACGUAUCCAACCUUCCGUUUACUCAGGGAUAGCCUUUCGAAAGAAAGAUUAAUACCUGAUAGUAUGGUGAGAUUGCAUGAUAGCACCAUUAAAGAUUUAUUGGUAAACGAUGGGGAUGCGUUCCAUUAGGUAGUAGGCGGGGUAACGGCCCACCUAGCCGACGAUGGAUAGGGGUUCUGAGAGGAAGGUCCCCCACAUUGGAACUGAGACACGGUCCAAACUCCUACGGGAGGCAGCAGUGAGGAAUAUUGGUCAAUGGGCGAGAGCCUGAACCAGCCAAGUAGCGUGAAGGAUGAAGGUCCUACGGAUUGUAAACUUCUUUUAUACGGGAAUAAAGUAUCCGACGUGUAGGAUUUUGUAUGUACCGUAUGAAUAAGCAUCGGCUAACUCCGUGCCAGCAGCCGCGGUAAUACGGAGGAUGCGAGCGUUUAUCCGGAUUUUAUUGGGUUUAAAGGGAGCGCAGACGGGAGAAUUAAGUCAGUUGUGAAAGUUUGCGGCUCAACCGUAAAAUUGCAGUUGAUACUGGUUUCCUUGAGUGCAGUUGAGGCAGGCGGAAUUCGUGGUGUAGCGGUGAAAUGCUUAGAUAUCACGAAGAACCCCGAUUGCGAAGGCAGCUUGCUAAACUGUAACUGACGUUCAUGCUCGAAAGUGUGGGUAUCAAACAGGAUUAGAUACCCUGGUAGUCCACACGGUAAACGAUGGAUACUCGCUGUUGGCGAUAUACUGUCAGCGGCC
rnacentral:rRNA from 1 species